rnacentral:rRNA from 3 species
CAGGGAUUGCCCUAGUAACGGCGAGUGAAGCGGCAACAGCUCAAAUUUGAAAUCUGGCUUCGGCCCGAGUUGUAAUUUGCAGAGGAUGUUUCUGGCGCGGUGCCUUCCGAGUUCCCUGGAACGGGACGCCACAGAGGGUGAGAGCCCCGUAUGGUUGGACACCAAGCCUGUGUGAAACUCCUUCGACGAGUCGAGUAGUUUGGGAAUGCUGCUCAAAAUGGGAGGUAAAUCUCUUCUAAAGCUAAAUACCGGCCAGAGACCGAUAGCGCACAAGUAGAGUGAUCGAAAGAUGAAAAGCACCUUGAAAAGGGGGUUAAACAGUACGUGAAAUUGUUGAAAGGGAAGCACUUGUGACCAGACUUGUGCCGGGCGGUUCAUCCGGGGUUCUCCCCGGUGCACUCCGCCCGGUAUAGGCCAGCAUCGGUUCUUUCUGGGGGAUAAGAACGGUGGGAACGUGGCCCUCCCUCGGGAGGGUGUUAUAGCCCGCCGUACGAUACCCUGGAGGGGACCGAGGUUCGCGCUCCGCAAGGAUGCUGGCGUAAUGGUCACCAGUGACCCGUCUUGAAACACGGACCAAGGAGUCGUCCAUUAGAGCGAGCGUUUGGGUGUCAAACCCGCACGCGUAAUGAAAGUGAAAUUAGGUGAGAGCUUCGGCGCAUCAUCGACCGAUCCUGAUGUUCUCGGAUGGAUUUGAGUAAGAGUUUUAACGGACGGACCCGAAAGACAGUGAACUAUGCUUGUAUAGGGUGAAGCCAGAGGAAACUCUGGUGGAGGCUCGCAGCGGUUCUGACGUGCAAAUCGAUCGUCAAAUAUGAGCAUGGGGGCGAAAGACUAAUCGAA